ACAAACUCGAAAGACUGGAGCCGAGCCGGCCAAGCAGGUUCUGACAGGAGCCGCUUUGCCGGCAACUCUCGUCCCUGCGCUCACACAGCGAUUGGGACCAUGGCGUGUUGGUUGGCUUUGGCGGCCUAUCUGGCCGCAUACGUGGCCCAGGUUUUGUCUUUCGAGUCCAGUCGAGACAUGGAAUUUACCUUCUUGUUACCGGCGGGCAGCAAGGAGUGCUUCUUUCAACCCGUAGCCAAGGACAACAUGCUCGAAUUUGAAUACCAAGUAAUUGGCGAGCCAAAUAUGGAUGUGAUCUUCACUAUGUUGUCACCCAGUGGCCGCCGAUUGUUUGAGGACAACAGAAAAAGUCGCGGCCUCCACAAGCUGCAGAACACUGAUGAAGGCGAUUACCAGCUGUGCUUCGACAACGUUUUCAGCAAGAUGAAGGAGAAGCUGUUGUUCUUCACGUUGGUCAUCAGCGAUCCCAAUGAUAUGGACGAAGAUGACGAAGAGCUUCUGAAGGAGAUCUCUGACACUGAAACUAUGGAAUACAGGCUGCAAGACUUCAAGGCCCGUAUCGACGCCUUACACCAGAAAAUCCAGAGGGGUCGCGUGAUCCAGCUCAUGCUCAGGACCUUCGACACCAAGGACCAGCGCCUGCAAGACAACAAUCUGUGGAGAGUCAGCUUCUGGUCCUUCUUCUGCGUGGUGGUGAUCAUGGUUGUGGGCGUCUCUCAGGUCCGCGUGCUUGAGUCGCUCUUCCCCGGGAGCUAGAACGCCCCCCGCGGCCGGUGGGCAGCUUCGGCACAGUCUAACGUUUGUACACUUGCGCCUUCACUUACAAGAUUCACCUUCCUACACCAAUGUACGAGCACAAAACUCAAGAUAAGCAGUGCUGAAAAUGCAUGUAUAGUAAUCUUUUGAGAAAAGUCACAAUUGUAGGAAAAUGAGAAAAAUUAAACCAAAGGACCAUCACAAGUUGUAAUACUGUGUAUUGAAAGUCUACACACCCCUGUUUAAUUACCACCUUUUUGUGAUUGAUUUUUUUUUUCAAUUUAAUUUUUGUUUAUUUGACAGGGACAGUGUACAACCAGUGUACCACAAGAGGCUUUUAGUCAUGAGUCCCUGAGGCAAGGUGUGCGAAGUAUCUUGCUCAAGGUUCGAGCUGCCGACCCUCCUGUUUCUGAACAACCCAGUAUUAGUGAGCAGAACGGAACAAAUAAAGUUAACAGUGACA